rnacentral:rRNA from 1 species
CCCGCUGAACUUAAGCAUAUCAAUAAGCGGAGGAAAAGAAACUAACAAGGAUUCCCUUAGUAACUGCGAGUGAAGUGGGAAAAGCUCAAAUUUAGAAUCUGGCAGUCACUUGGCUGUCCGAGUUGUAAUCUAUAGAAGUGUUGCCCGUGCUGGACCAUGUACGAGUCUCCUGCUAUGGAUCAUCACACAGGGAGAGAAUCCUGUCUUUGACAUGCACUGCCUGUGCUUUUGUGGUACGCUCUCAUAGAGUCGAGUUGUUUGUGAAUUCAGCUCAAAAUGGGUGGUAAAUGCCAUCUCAAGCUAAAUAUUGGCGAGAGACCGAUAGCGAACAAGUACCGUGAAGGAAAGAUGAAAAGAUCUUUGGAAAGAGAGUUAAACAGUACGUGAAAUUGCUGAAAGGGAAACGCUUGAAGUCAGUCAUGUUCACUCGGAAUCAGCUUUGCUUUUGCUGGGUGUACUUUCUUGUCAAUGGGUCAGCAUCAAUUUUGACCAGUGGAUAAAGUUGCUGGGAAUGUAGCAUCCUUUUGGAUGUGUUAUAGCCUGGUGAUGCAUACAGUGGUCGGGAUUGAGGAAUUCAGCACUCCGCCAGGCCGGGUUUCGACCACGUUCGUGCUUAGGAUGCUGGCAUAAUGGCUUUAAUUGACCCGUCUUGAAACACGG